CUUUCUUAUUCCCCACGUGUUCUUUUUCAAUUCAGCCCCCUUAUUCCUAAAUAUUAUGCAAUAAAAGACUUUUGCCCUUCUCAUUCUCAGUUAAACUGCCUAAUCCAGGGGAAAUCAACCUUUUAGUAGCACUGCGACAAAACGCGAUCCUGAAGUCUAUUGGUGUGCGAGUCCUAUUUUUUCAAAUUGAGGCGUGUAUUACCAUAUCCUGCUUGUGUUAUUUAUGGGUUCUGCAGUUGCCUUUAAGCGUUGUUUUUGUGUGUAUGUG